rnacentral:rRNA from 1 species
AGAACGAACGCUGGCGGCAGGCUUAACACAUGCAAGUCGAACGGUUGUAGCAAUACAGCAGUGGCAGACGGGUGAGUAACACGUGGGAACCUUCCUAGGGGUACGGAACAACUCAGGGAAACUUGAGCUAAUACCGUAUACGUCCGUGAGGAGAAAGUUUUAACGCCCCUAGACGGGCCCGCGUAGGAUUAGGUAGUUGGUGAGGUAACGGCUCACCAAGCCUACGAUCCUUAGCUGAUCUGAGAGGAUGAUCAGCCACACUGGGACUGAGACACGGCCCAGACUCCUACGGGAGGCAGCAGUGGGGAAUCUUGGACAAUGGGCGCAAGCCUGAUCCAGCCAUGCCGCGUGAGUGAAGAGGCCUUGGGUUGUAAAGCUCUUUACCAGGGACGAUAAUGACGGUACCUGGAGAAUAACGCCCGGACAAACUUCGUG